GCCCAGACUCCUACGGGAGGCAGCAGUGAGGAAUAUUGGUCAAUGGGCGCGAGCCUGAACCAGCCAAGUCGCGUGAGGGAGGACGGCCCUACGGGUUGUAAACCUCUUUUGCCGGGGAGCAACGGGCGUCACGUGUGGCGCCACUGAGAGUACCCGGAGAAAAAGCAUCGGCUAACUCCGUGCCAGCAGCCGCGGUAAUACGGAGGAUGCGAGCGUUAUCCGGAUUUAUUGGGUUUAAAGGGUGCGUAGGCGGCGCUUCAGGUCAGCGGUGAAAUACCGGGGCUCAACCCCGGGGCUGCCGUUGAAACCGGAGCGCUAGAAUUCCGAUGCCGUCGGAGGAAUGUGUGGUGUAGCGGUGAAAUGCAUAGAUAUCACGCAGAACUCCGAUUGCGAAGGCAGCAUACCGGCGCUCAACUGACGCUCAUGCACGAAAGUGUGGGUAUCGAACAGGAUUAGAUACCCCUGUA
rnacentral:rRNA from 1 species